UAUUGGAACAUUAAUUGCUGGGCAGGCCUAAGUUUGUCUCUCUUUGCCUGCUUGGGAGAGGAAGACUAGAGCAUUAAGUUUUCCAAUCAGGAAAUUUACAAUUACGUGCUUCUUGGUUUUUGCCAGAGAUUAACGUUUUUAAGUGUUAAGACUACAAUCAGACAUAAUUUAGUUAUUGUAACCAAGUUUGUUUAUCCAUUACAUUGUGAUCCAGCGUUCAACGGUGACUUUUUAAGUCUUUUGUCAUUUAUAGGCAGUAAUUGUUGUGCUCUGAUGCUUCUGCAAAAGUGCUUCAUCUUCAAGAAGAUUCAUAGGAAGGCCUUUUGGCAAGUACAGGUCUCUGAUAAAUUUCAGAUCAUAGAGCUGAACGGGGUAAGAAAUUAAAGAAUCCUAAUGGAAAACCCAAUGGCUUCAUAAAAAGGUAACAAAAGGGUUGUUUACUGGUGAAUAUGGUUAUAAUGUUUAUGGGUUUUGUUUGGAAUGUUACUGGUUUUGAUCUGUUUUCCAGGUAGAGGGGAGCCCUUCCCCUCAAGUUAGCUUUGACUUACAGCAAUUUGGUAAACUACACCUAUGGGUAGAAUUUGUCGACUGAAAAAAAAACGCGCUACCUAAAAGUUGAGAGUUGUUUUAGUUGGCGGACUUUCAGAGGACUUCAAGCCUGGACACAGCAUCUCGGAUAAUGCUGAGAAAAUUGUUAGAGGCGAGAGGGAAGCCAGGAUAUAUAGGACUUUCUGCAACAAAGGGCAGGUAGUAGGGAUAUCAAAAGAUUACUGUUAAUUAAGGAAAACCAGACAUCUCAAGUUAAUGAAAUUAGCCCUUUUCUAUGUAUGGGAAGAGGUAAAGUCUGGGCUCAUUGAAAUCAUUCCUUUGAUAUGCACCUCAGCUGUCUGGGGCCAGUAACCUGUGUUUUCUCCAGAGCUUCAGGGUGCACCAGUCGUUGGUGGCUGCAGCAGUUGACUGCUAGAUGGCAGGCAUCCUGUUUCUAUCUUGAGUUCCCUCAGAGCUCACCAUAGGGGCGGCUGUAAUGUGGUAGCUUGAAGGCUGCAACAUCUUUUGUUUCCUGAUAUGGCAAGCAGCAUUCUUAGUUCAUAAGUUGAAGCACUUUUCUGUCUGGUCUGCCAACUAAAGGUUGCCCCUUGCCAUCUACCUCUACAAGGACUAAAUCCCAAGCUGCUAUGACUGCUGACCUUCAACACAUCCUGAAAGGAGUUCAGGGUGGAGAUCAGGAAUGAGGUACUCUGUGCUCUGGGAAAAACUGGCAGAACAGGCCUUCAGAUAGUUAGAUAUUUUCAGGAGAAGAUUUUAUGAGCCCAAUGCUUGCAUCUCCUCGUAGCUAGAAAAGCACUGAAGUCUUUCAUGGUGACGUCUGCUCCUCACGACUAGCAGAAACCUUCUGCAAAAAUGUGUGCUAGAUUGCAUGCAUCCCGCCUUCACCACAAUCACAUAUAUACUGACCUUCCGCCCUAUCUCUUUGGAGCAGUUUCUCAGCUAUCUGGAAUGCUGCCUCCAGGGCUAUAGUCCUCCUUUUGCCCCCAAUAAAACGACUCACAACUCUCACAUUGUGCAAUUUUUUUUUCAGAUCACAGGUCCCUCCAGAAAUUGGAGACUCUUAGGUUCUGAGCAGCCUUAUGAGGUGAAAGGGAAAGACUGUCUCCUGGCAUGUGCAGGAAUCUCUAUAUUUGGGGACCGAGAAAUCCAAGGUGGAGCCUGAUGGCAGGUCUUUGGCAUGGCUUUCUUGGCCUUGAGAGGCCUUUUGGGAAUUCAGCCUGAGACUCCUGAGGAGUUCUGCCUCAGCCACUUUGGAGGAGCCUACGUGGUCAAUUGAUCAGACUUGUUUUGCAAACAAAUUAGCUUUGAUUUGGCUGUGUUUGCUGGAGAUGAGAGUAAUUUUAGAUUGAAAAAGAUUGUUUCAAUAGAUAUUAAAUUCUAGUUCUGUUAAUUGAGGUCUGUAUUGAGGAAAGUUAUUGUGUUAGCCACACUUGCCCUGAUGUUCAGGAGGAAAAGAUUAUCCAGUGAAGUUAUCACAGAGUGUAACUACUCAUGAUGUAUAUAACAUUGCUCGCUUUAAGUCGGCCGCUAAAAGCACACGUACAAGUCUUGUGUAACAAUUUGGUAUAAGUGAUAAAAUGUAUGGCCUGUAAAGUGUUUCCCCAUUGACAUACCCCUGAGUCUGUUCACAAGAUCUGAUUAAGUUUCCCCCAGUGUGAAUAACUAGGCGAAAAUAAAGGAGGUCCAGCACCGAGGGACAUGAUCUGAACCUGGGGUAGGAGCCAGCACCCCAGCAUUGAGGGACGGAUAUUUUGAUCAUCAAUGCUUUCUAUUGGAAGAUUUGCAAUCAAAAGGGGAAAUGAUGGAAAAAUCUACACAUAUUGAGCACUCAAAGCCAAUGCCUUUACAAGGUCUUUGCCGUGUAUUCACCAGAGAAGGCAGAAGCAUUACAAAUGGUGCCUCAGAGUCCACUGGACAGCCAAUCUCCCCACCGACUACCUGCAAAGUUACAAGGCCUACUUGGAGCACACAGGGAACCACACCUAUUUUUGGUCUUUUUCACAAUAUUUUCUUCAUGUCUUCUUUCUCUGACAAAACCUUAGAUGCUGGUAUUCCCCCCUUCUAAUCCUUGGCCCUCUUCCCUUCCCUUUUCAUUUAUUCCCCUUCAUUCAUGUGGCUUCAACUAUCAGCCGUAAGGUGAUAACUCCGCCUGUAACUCCAGGCCUGGCCUCUAAGCUCUAGAUUCUUGCUGUUCAAUAGGGCAGUUACUAGUCACAUGUGACUGAAAUUUUUUAAUUAGAAUUAAAUAAAAUUUAAAAUUCCAUUCCUCAGUCUCACUAGCCACAUUUCAGUACUGAGUAACCACAUACGUCUAGUGUAUGCCACAUUGUAUAGUUCAGGUAAAAAACUCUUCCAUCAUCACAAAAAAAUUCUACUGGACAGUGAUACCUGGAUAACAAUAGCUAGUAAUGUAUGUGCCAGGGAUUCUUCCAAGUCUUUUAUAUGUAAACUAAUCCUCAGGACAAACUUCUGAGGUACUUAACAGUAGUCAAAAUCACAGAGACAGAAAGUAGAACGUUGGUUGCUGGGGGGCGUCAGGGAGUGAAGGU